rnacentral:misc_RNA from 1 species
GAUGAAGAACGCAGCGAAAUGCGAUAAGUAAUGUGAAUUGCAGAAUUCAGUGAAUCAUCGAAUCUUUGAACGCACAUUGCGCCCCUUGGUAUUCCGAGGGGCAUGCCUGUUCGAGCGUCAUUAUAACCCCUCAAGCUCAGCUUGGUGUUGGGGCCUGCUGCACUGGCAGCCCUUAAAAUCAGUGGCGGCGCCAUCUGGCUCUAAGCGUAGUAAUUCUUCUCGCUAUGGAGUCCUGGUGGAUGCUUGCCAUCAACCCCCAAUUUUUCUAUGGUUGAUCUCGGAUCAGGUAGGGAUACCCGCUGAACUUAAGCAUAUCAAUAAGCGGAGGA